AGGGUUCGAUUAUGGCUCAGGACGAACGCUGGCGGCGUGCCUAACACAUGCAAGUCGAACGAGAAGCUUUUCUCAGAUCCUUCGGGUGACGAGGAGGGUGGAAAGUGGCGGACGGGUGAGUAACGCGUGAGCAACCUACCCUAGAGUGGGGGACAACACAGAGAAAUUUGUGCUAAUACCGCAUAAAGUAUAGAUUCCGCAUGGGAUUUAUACCAAAGAUUUAUUGCUCUAGGAUGGGCUCGCGUCCGAUUAGAUAGUUGGUGGGGUAACGGCCUACCAAGUCGACGAUCGGUAGCCGGACUGAGAGGUUGAACGGCCACAUUGGGACUGAGACACGGCCCAG
rnacentral:rRNA from 1 species